rnacentral:tRNA from 1 species
GGGGCUUUGGCCCAGUGGAAGGGCAUCUAUUUGGCACACAGAAGGUCCCAGGUUCAAUCCCAGGCAUCUCCA